rnacentral:rRNA from 1 species
GAUGAACGCUGGCUGCGUGCCUAAUACAUGCAAGUCGAGCGAACGGACGAGAAGCUUGCUUCUCUGAUGUUAGCGGCGGACGGGUGAGUAACACGUGGAUAACCUACCUAUAAGACUGGGAUAACUUCGGGAAACCGGAGCUAAUACCGGAUAAUAUUUUGAACCGCAUGGUUCAAAAGUGAAAGACGGUCUUGCUGUCACUUAUAGAUGGAUCCGCGCUGCAUUAGCUAGGUGGUAAGGUAACGGCUUACCAAGGCAACGAUGCAUAGCCGACCUGAGAGGGUGAUCGGCCACACUGGAACUGAGACACGGUCCAGACUCCUACGGGAGGCAGCAGUAGGGAAUCUUCCGCAAUGGGCGAAAGCCUGACGGAGCAACGCCGCGUGAGUGAUGAAGGUCUUCGGAUCGUAAAACUCUGUUAUUAGGGAAGAACAUAUGUGUUAGCUACUGUGCACAUCUUGACGGUACCUAAUCAGAAAGCCACGGCUAACUGCGUGCCAGCAGCCGCGGUAAUACGUAGGUGGCAAGCGUUAUCCGGAAUUAUUGGGGCGAAAGCGCGCGUAGGCGGUUUUUUAAGUCUGAUGUGAAAGCCCACGGCUCAACCGUGGAGGGUCAUUGGAAACUGGAAAACUUGAGUGCAGAAGAGGAAAGUGGAAUUCCAUGUGUAGCGGUGAAAUGCGCAGAGAUAUGGAGGAACACCAGUGGCGAAGGCGACUUUCUGGUCUGUAACUGACGCUGAUGUGCGAAAGCGUGGGGAUCAAACAGGAUUAGAUACCCUGGUAGUCCACGCCGUAAACGAUGAGUGCUAAGUGUUAGGGGGUUUCCGCCCCUUAGUGCUGCAGCUAACGCAUUAAGCACUCCGCCUGGGGAGUACGACCGCAAGGUUGAAACUCAAAGGAAUUGACGGGGACCCGCACAAGCGGUGGAGCAUGUGGUUUAAUUCGAAGCAACGCGAAGAACCUUACCAAAUCUUGACAUCCUUUGACAACUCUAGAGAUAGAGCCUUCCCCUUCGGGGGACAAAGUGACAGGUGGUGCAUGGUUGUCGUCAGCUCGUGUCGUGAGAUGUUGGGUUAAGUCCCGCAACGAGCGCAACCCUUAAGCUUAGUUGCCAUCAUUAAGUUGGGCACUCUAAGUUGACUGCCGGUGACAAACCGGAGGAAGGUGGGGAUGACGUCAAAUCAUCAUGCCCCUUAUGAUUUGGGCUACACACGUGCUACAAUGGACAAUACAAAGGGCAGCGAAACCGCGAGGUCAAGCAAAUCCCAUAAAGUUGUUCUCAGUUCGGAUUGUAGUCUGCAACUCGACUACAUGAAGCUGGAAUCGCUAGUAAUCGUAGAUCAGCAUGCUACGGUGAAUACGUUCCCGGGUCU